GGCCAUAACUGACGCUCAUGGACGAAAGCCAGGGGAGCGAAAGGGAUUAGAUACCCCUGUAGUCCUGGCCGUAAACGAUGAACACUAGGUGUCGGGGGAAUCGACCCCCUCGGCGUCGUAGCUAACGCGUUAAGUGUUCCGCCUGGGGAGUACGCACGCAAGUGUGAAACUCAAAGGAAUUGACGGGGGCCCGCACAAGCGGUGGAGUAUGUGGUUUAAUUCGAUGCAACACGAAGAACCUUACCAGGGUUUGGCAUCCUGCGAAUCCCUUGGAAACUAGGGAGUGCCUUCGGGAGCGCAGAGACAGGUGGUGCAUGGCUGUCGUCAGCUCGUGUCGUGAGAUGUUGGGUUAAGUCCCGCAACGAGCGCAACCCACGUCUUUAGUUGCCAGCAUUUAGUUGGGCACUCUAGAGAGACCGCCGGUGAUAAACCGGAGGAAGGUGUGGAUGACGUCAAGUCAUCAUGCCCCUUACAUCCUGGGCUACACACGUACUACAAUGCUACGGACAAAGGGUUGCAAACUCGCGAGAGCUAGCUAAUCCCAUAAACCGUGGCUCAGUUCAGAUCGUAGGCUGCAACUCGCCUGCGUGAAGGAGGAAUCGCUAGUAAUCGCAGGUCAGCAUACUGCGGUGAAUACGUUCCCGGGCCUUGUACACACCGCCCGUCACACCAUGGAAGUUGGCCACGCCCGAAGUCGUUACUCCAACCCGUAAGGGAGGAG
rnacentral:rRNA from 1 species